UGGACAGAUUAUUGUAUUCAACUGUAUUCACGACGUGAAAUAGGGGAUUACAUUAUUUUUAAAACGGAAAGUGAAUCAAUUAACAUAAUAGACUCCU
rnacentral:pre_miRNA from 1 species